GACGGAGGAUGCAAGCGUUAUCCGGAAUGAUUGGGCGUAAAGCGUCCGCAGGUGGCAGUUCAAGUCUGCUGUCAAAGACCGGGGGCUUUAACUUCGGAAAGGCAGUGGAAACUGAACAGCUAGAGUAUGGUAGGGGCAGAGGGAAUUCCUGGUGUAGCGGUGGAAUGCGUAGAGAUCCGGAAGAACACCGGUGGCGAAGGCGGCCCGCUGGGCAGGAAGGGGUGGGUAACCAUCCGGGCUGACACUGAGGCGCGACAGCGUGGGGGAGCAAACAGG
rnacentral:rRNA from 1 species